rnacentral:tRNA from 1 species
GGUUGGGUGCCGGAGUGGUCGAACGGGGCGCUCUCGAAAAGCGUUGAAGUGUAAGCUUCCGGGGGUUCGAAUCCCUCCCCAACCGCCA